GACGUAGGUGGCGACCGUUAUCCGGAUUUACUGGGCGUAAAGGGCGCGCAGGCGGCUCAUUUUGUCAGGCGUGAAAGCCCCGGGCUUAACCUGGGAACUGCGUUUGAUACGGGUGGGCUAGAGUUCGGGAGAGGAGCGUGGAAUUCCCAGUGUAGAGGUGAAAUUCGUAGAUAUUGGGAAGAACACCGGUGGCGAAGGCGGCGCUCUGGACCGAGACUGACGCUGAGGCGCGAAAGCGUGGGGAGCAAACAGG
rnacentral:rRNA from 1 species